rnacentral:lncRNA from 1 species
UUCCUCAUCUCCUGCCUUCUCAGCAGAUCUCUGAGGGGGUGGCUUUUGCCAUAAAAAUACGUAUUCUAGAUUUGCUGGCUGGCAAAAUUUACUUUCUACGGGAUCAGAAAGAGCGGAUCUUGUUCAAAGGCUUUAGCUACUAUCCUUCAGAGAGAGGAUGGACCCAUGGAGCAGAAUAAUCCUGUCGCCAGCACGAAAUGCUGUCACCCGAGGCGUGGGCUUCCACGCUCGGCCGUGCUGCCGCGAUAUUUAGAGAUAGGGUUAGGCUGACCCUGGCAUUCGCUUCACAGCCUUGGUUGUCAUUUCUUCCAUGUUGAGUUUCCUUCCAGGUCUCUGAUCAUUUCUGCUUUGGGAGGUGGCCAAGGUCCAGGCAGUACCCACGGGCACGCCAAGUCUCUGCGCCACCCCCACCCGGGGGCGCGGUCUGCCUCUUGGAAUGCGUGCGUUCUGGCAGAUGCCGCACACGCAGGGGUCAGAGCCACAGUCCGAGGAGACGGGCGCCUCCUGCACGGGACCUCAUUUUUCUCCAUCUGCACAACCAUUUGGGGCCUCGGGCUUCGUGACUCAUCCAGUGACUAUCCAUCUGCCCAUUUACUCUAGAAAGGAAGAGGAUUUCUUCACACACAGCUGGCCCGGAUUCAGGCGUGAGCUGAGUCAUCGUGUCACAUGUUUCAGAGCCACCUGUCUGACCCAUGCACUGCAGCAGCUCUCCAGAAUGUCAGGGCUCCUCAUUACUUGGAGAGCUGACGCUUCCACCUCCUACUCCCAUGAAGACUUCCAGCUCACAGCAGCCCAUCUUCCUUACAACUCCAAAGAAUUAUUGUGCACGCCUGUCACUGACAGUCAACUAAGAUCAACUGUUUGUUGUCCAUCGUAAAGAUAAUACAUGUCUAUUACAGAAAAAUAGAGACAAAAAAUAUUAUCUAUGGCCCCACCAUGUGAUGACAACCACCAAUUAUAUUUUCUUCUCUCCAUAAUAUUUGUGUUUUUUCUAAUGUUUUAAAUGAAGUGUAACAUAUAGAACACAUACAUGUGUACACACACUCACACAUUGACUCAAUGAAUUUUCAUUAAAGGAACACACCCAUGUUACAAGCACCCAUUAAAAAAUAGAACAUUUUCAGAGUUCCCGUAGUAGUGCAGUGGUUAACGAAUCCGACUAGGAACCAUGAGGUUGCGGGUUCCAUCCCUGGCCUUGCUCAUUGGGUCAAGGAUCCAGUGUUGCCAUGAGCUGUGGUGUAGGCUGCAGACGCAGCUUGGAUCCUGAGUUGCUGUGGCUGUGGCGUAGGCCAGUGGCUACAGCUCCAAUUAGACCCCUAGCCUGGAAAUCUCCAUAUGCCGCAGGAGCAGUCCUAGAAAAGACGAACAAACAAACAAACAAACAAAAAAUGGAACAUUAUCAACAUCCCAGAAACCAUCCUGCUGACCUUGCUCCUUCCGCCCCCCCAGGAUAGUCACCACCUGAAUUCUAACCCGUGAUUAGUUUUACCUUUUUUUUUUUUGAACUUUAUAUAAUUCAUACACACUUUUUUAAAAAAGCAUACUGCAAUCAUUGCUUGUUAUUUCAAAUUAUAGCAUAAACACUUCUACUUGGUU